GACGAACGCUGGCGGCGUGCUUAACACAUGCAAGUCGAACGGAAAGGCCCUGCUUUUGUGGGGUGCUCGAGUGGCGAACGGGUGAGUAACACGUGAGUAACCUGCCCUUGACUUUGGGAUAACUUCAGGAAACUGGGGCUAAUACCGGAUAGGAGCUCCUGCUGCAUGGUGGGGGUUGGAAAGUUUCGGCGGUUGGGGAUGGACUCGCGGCUUAUCAGCUUUUUGGUGGGGUAGUGGCUUACCAAGGCUUUGACGGGUAGCCGGCCUGAGAGGGUGACCGGCCACAUUGGGACUGAGAUACGGCCCAGACUCCUACGGGAGGCAGCAGUGGGGAAUAUUGCACAAUGGGCGGAAGCCUGAUGCAGCAACGCCGCGUGCGGGAUGACGGCCUUCGGGUUGUAAACCGCUUUCGCCUGUGACGAAGCGUGAGUGACGGUAAUGGGUAAAGAAGCACCGGCUAACUACGUG
rnacentral:rRNA from 1 species